rnacentral:rRNA from 1 species
AUACGUAGGGUGCGAGCGUUGUCCGGAAUUACUGGGCGUAAAGAGCUCGUAGGUGGUUUGUCGCGUCGUCUGUGAAAUUCCGGGGCUUAACUCCGGGCGUGCAGGCGAUACGGGCAUAACUUGAGUACUGUAGGGGAGACUGGAAUUCCUGGUGUAGCGGUGAAAUGCGCAGAUAUCAGGAGGAACACCGGUGGCGAGGGCGGGUCUCUGGGCAGUAACUGACGCUGAGGAGCGAAAGCAUGGGUAGCGAAAAGGAUUAGAUACCCUGGUAGUCCAUGCCGUAAACGGUGGGCGCUAGGUGUAGGGGUCUUCCACGACUUCUGUGCCGUAGCUAACGCAUUAAGCGCCCCGCCUGGGGAGUACGGCCGCAAGGCUAAAACUCAAAUGAAUUGACGGGG